rnacentral:rRNA from 1 species
CUAUGCGCCUUGCCAGCCCGCUCAGGUGUGCCAGCCGCCGCGGUAAUACGUAGGUGGCAAGCGUUGUCCGGAUUUACUGGGUGUAAAGGGCGUGCAGCCGGGAAGACAAGUCAGAUGUGAAAUCCCGCGGCUCAACCGCGGAACUGCAUUUGAAACUGUUUUUCUUGAGUACCGGAGAGGUCAUCGGAAUUCCUUGUGUAGCGGUGAAAUGCGUAGAUAUAAGGAAGAACACCAGUGGCGAAGGCGGAUGACUGGACGGCAACUGACGGUGAGCGCGAAAGCGUGGGGAGCAAACAGG